ensembl:lncRNA
UUCUAUAUUCAAUUUUAUAAUAUUGCUAAUUGUUACAGAAAUGAUUGUUGUAAAGGCUGUGUUGUUGUAAUCACUAACUAAUUAACUAACUAACCAUUUAGCAGAUUAAUCAAUGAAGCAAAUAAUCGUUAGCUGCAGCCUUAUAACCUUUAAAAUGUCUUUAGAAACUGGUGGUGGUCUAACUAGCCUACAUGUACUGUCCCAAAAAGGUGUUACGGCUAAUUGCAUAUGUUUUGUAAAUUCAGAAUUUAUUAGUAAUCACUGAUUUUAAAAAGUACACAACAACUAAAAAAGUACAUUGUACUUUGCAUAGUCGAUAAAAACGUAAAUUCAACUGUAAAUUAAGUUUUAAUAUCCAAAAAACGUUUUUUUCCCCAAUUUUUGUCCAUGUCGUGUUUCAGUUCUCCGAGGAAUACCUGCGGCGGAUUCAGCGGAACGAGUGGCCUCGUGUGAUUGUGGUGGCCGACGGGUCGUGUGGCGACUCCUGCUCCGUGCUGGGCAUUAGCUCCGACUACACCGUGGAGUCCUGCCAUGCCUACGGAGCUAAUGCCACCAUAGAGAGACUAGAUCAGAGACAGGUUAGGACACAUUGGCCAUCCGUAACGCACACAUCAACAUCCACUAAUGGGUGCAUUCACUCCUGUGCACACACUGAGGCAAUAACCAAUACGUUGCUGUUUGUGUAAAGAAUGACGGCAGCAGAAACAGGAUAUUGCAGUAUAUUAUCGAGAAGGAACUUUAUAUGACCUCAUAAAGCUGAGUUGAGCAAACAACAAUGUGGAUCUGUAAAUAGCAGCUGAAUACAAUAUGUGACUCAUUUGCACAGCUGGAUUACAGCAGUCGGUUGAAUCUCUUCUGCACCGACGCAGGUUCUAUUCUAAUUUACUCAUUGAAUUUGAUGAGAACAGCUGUUGUUGUGAUGGAUGCAGGUGACUGAAAUGAUAGAGCUUGCAAUUCAUUAAGUCCCCCCCCCCUCCUGGACAGACUCGUAGUCGUUCACCUGCCAGGUGACUAUGAAUCAAGAUUUAAAAAUAUCUGCUGCCAUUUAUUUUGCAUAGUGCCCCGGAGGUCACCUGACAUCUGAGAUGCAGACGGUUCCUUAACUUACUCACAUCUGUUCAGACCAAGAGCCCCAGAAAAAUAAAAAAUAAAAAUAAAAGUAAAUAGUCAACAUUUUCACAGAGAAAAAAUUUAAUUAAUUAUUUGUUUGUGUAAUAAACUGCAGAUUAGGAAAUAACAACAGAAAAUAAGAAAUAUCCCAUCCCUGCUGGUCCAUGGACGGGGAAAUGCAGACAAAUUAUAUUGAUCCGGCCCAGAUAUCCAGAUGUGAUCAAUAGUAUCGCUUCCAGGUGUGCAUUUUUUAACAUCUAAAUGGUUCUAUGCCACCAUCACCAGAUAUACCUUCUCUUUAGAGGCUCUGUAGCUGCCUUUCAUUGAAGCCUUUUUUCCGUGACUGCUUCCUGUAAUGAUUGAAUUCACCUACCAGGAAUAUGACGUGGUUAUUUCUUAAGUUGCCUCUCUGUUGCGCUGAAUGCUUGUUUGAUUGAAUGUGGCUGGUUUACGUCAUUGAAAAGAUAUUCUGUUUUAAGGGAAAAUUAGUUUGGGGGGGGUGUCACUGCCAGACUGAAGCACGGAAUAAAAUCCAGCUACUCUCAAUGUCCACCCGAGUGACUACAGCCCCACAGGCAGACGUCGUAUAUAAGUAGUGUUCUAUCGUAUUGAUUUACUGUUGUCCAAAAUAUCAAAUAUGCCAUUAACUGACUACUGGUCCUCGGAGAUUUAACUCUUCUCUUUACUUCAGGUUCCCACUCCUGAGAUCCGUACCCCCAGCCUCUACUUCGACCUGUCCGCCUAUGGCGUGGAGGCCCUCCGAGAGCCCAGAAAUCCCGCCGCCAAACCUGGCUUCCACCUAAAGAUCUAUGGCACCUUCAGGAACCGCUACAUGGCCCUCGCCUGCCCGGCCUCUGACACCAAGAUGGUCCGCUUCCUCCGGCACACGGCCAACUCCUCUGUGAGAGACGCUUGUCCCUGUUUGAUUUAACAAAAACGUGGUGUCUGUUUUCGAUAAAGCUUCUAGGUGACGUAGAACACACAGCUGUAACUCUACGUCAAUGUGCUUUGAGUCCAUUAGUGUCCUCGUGUGGAUGUAUGUCUGCUUGAGUGUUUGCGUCUGUGUGAACGUUCUUUAAAUGUGAGUGUGUCUGAGUCAAAGAGAGCGUGAGAUAAAGAAAUAAUGAAAAGAGGGACGGAGAAAGGUGACCUCACUAUUCACGCUGAACAACAGGCCACGGAUGCAUUUGUCACCGGUGGGCAGUCAGUCUUUCAUUUAAACUCUCUGAGUUGUUUUUGUCCUACUGCUUUGAGCAGCGCGCACAACAUGGAGAACGCACAGGAACAUAGCAGGACCAUUCUCAGAGCGCAUGUUGCUAUGUGGGCGGCCAUUCAGAUUCCCUGUUACUUAGUAACAGAAGACUGAGCAAGUGUGGGUCGAGAAAAAACAGAGUUUGGCAGAGAGAAAGAGGCCGAGAGAGCAGGAGAGGCUUCACACUCAUUAACCACAAUUACCAGGAUCAAUGAAAAGGCACACAGCAGCUAUUCUACUAUGUCCCUGCAUGGUGAUAAAAUAACAGAGUCAAAGUUGCUUUGACACAGAACCUUUUACUUUAGAAGUGUAGGUUGGACUUGGUUGCAUAUAAAUCAUUUUUAAUAUUGAUGAUUUACUUUUCUUUUGAAAUGUGAAUAAAAAAAGCACAGAGAAAACGCCUUCCGCUAUUUACAACGACCAAAAACGAUGUCUUCCAAUUGGUAUUAAUUUUCCAGUUAUGCAAUUUAAAACCCGAUAAGACCAUAUAAAAAGCUGGAAGAAGUCAACUUGCUGACAACUUCUGUUGAUCAACGGAUUCUUAAACAGCUAGUGGUUUCAGCUCCGUCAUGGUGCAUUCUAUGGGGCGCCGUUUGUAAAAUGUCGCACGUUCUAAAAUCCUGCGCAGUUUUGCUACAUCUAGCAUUAUCAUAUGAACAAAAAAGCACGACAAUAUUCACAUGUCACUUUUUCAAACAUUUAGAGAAAAAUUCAUGUACAUUCAUGCAAUAACCUUUCCAAGGAUAAUGUUUAGCAGUAAUACAGUUAUUAAAUAAUAUAAAUGUUAAAUGUAAAACUAAAUGUUAAAUCUAAAUGUACAUGUUAAAUGUACAUGUUAAAUGCAAAUGUUAAAUCAAAAUGUACAUGUUAAAUGUAAAUCUAAAUGUUAAAUGUAUAUCUAAAUGUUAAAUGUAAAUCUAAAUGUUAAAUAGAGGCAAAUUUCAUUUUGAAAUGCGGUCCACAUGACCGCAGUGGAGAUGGGGUUCACGGGUGGGCAACGUUGCGCAAACCCCCCUUGACCUGACCAUCGGCAACGAUUUGGCCGCGCCGGUGAAGGCGGGUGGGGCACGGGCGCGGAUGCUCGCGGUUAACGGGGGACGGGUGCGCGGCCAAAUCGUCGCCGAUGGUCCAUCCAUUUACAUUCAGAUUUAACAUUUAGAUUUAACAUUUAGAUUGAACAUUUAACAUUUACAUUUAGAUUUAACAUUUAGAUAUAACAUUUAACAUUUACAUUUAACAUGUACAUAUAACAUUUCAAUCCGGAGAGACUUGUUGAAAUUUGAACAAUGCUUUAUUAUAACAGGUGUAAUAUGAUAUUGCAAGUUGUUUGGGGCUUGGACUCCAUCCUGCCGCAGGGUAGACCCGGGGCCGGGAACUCGAGCCGAGACGAGGCGUAUCCCCCCCUUGGGAGUCCAGACACUGGUGGUGGUGGUGGUGGUAGAGCCCAAGUUGCAUAACUCUCCUGCUAUGCCAGGUUCUGCUGUAGAUUGGAGGUGUCAGGGGUGGUGGCGGGUCACCUUUGGAGCGUGCUGAAAUGACAACUGACAGCACAAGAGAGGAGAACAGUUUUUAACGUUUGCCUGCCCAAUGCGAUUGGUUUACGGUAACGACACCCACGUCUGAUACUACCCGACCCCGCCCCUAAUCAGCUGGCCGUGCGCCCCCGGGAGAGAGGAGGCCACCAGGGAGAGAGGAGGCCACCAGGGAACGGCACAGCCUGUCCAGUCUUCCUGACUGAAUUUUUGCCUAAGCUUCAUUUAACAUUUACAUUUAGAUUUAACAUUUAGAUAUAACAUUUAACAUUUACAUUUAGAUUUAACAUGUACAUAUAACAUUUAACAUUUACAUUUAGAUUUAACAUUUAGAUAUAACAUUUAACAUUUAGAUUUAACAUGUAGAUAUAACAUUUAACAUUUAGAUUUAACAUUUAGAUUUACAUUAAACAUUGACAUUUAACAUUAAGAUAUAACAUUUACAUUUAGAUUUAGAUUUAGAUUUAACAUUUAGAUUAUUUAACAACUUAUUACUGCCAAACAUUAUCCUUGGAAAAGUUAUUGCAUGAAUGUACAUUAAUUUCUCUCUAAAUGUUUGAAAAAGUGACAUGUGAAUAUUGUCGUGCUUUUUUGUUCAUAUGAUAAUGCUAAAUGUAGCAAAACUGCACAGGAUUUUAGAACGUGCAACAUUUUACAAACGGCGCCCCAUAGCAUUCUUCCAUUUCUCUUUGUACGUAAAGACUCCAUAUCCAAAUCAUUAAGGUGCAUAAAGCUUCUUGUCACUUCUCACUUUGUCCUUAUCUCACACACCGUUCUGAGAUAAACGGUGGUGCAGGUUGCCAUAGUUUCACUGCGGCAGCGUGACGACUGAUGUGCUGUGGGGAAGUGAACAUGUCUCCAUGCAUGUGUGAAUGUACUGGUGUCCAUGAGGAAGUCACUUUACAAGCUGGCAAAAAUUAAAAAGGGUAAAUCGGAGUGGACAAUGCUACAAACUCUCUCUCUCUCUCUCUUGUUGGGCAGAUCAUGAAGAAUAUUUUCCACCAGUCCUUCAAUGUUUAUAAGACGGACAUCGAGCCUCGUCUCAACGACGUGACGCUGCACCGCAUGCAGUGCAGCCGGCGUCUCUUUGAGAUUCAGUUAUCACACAGACGCAUCAGCGCUGCCUUCAUAGAGGGGGACAAUGUGGCCGUCACCGUGGAGGGGGAGGCGGCGCGCGUCCUCAACUUUGACACAGGUACAUCUGUGCACAAUGUACUAAUAUAACAUGCAACUUAUGCAAUAUAGAAUAGGAGAGGGUCAGAAGUAUUUCUGAAGGUGAGACAACAGUGAAGCAGAACACAGAUCACUUUGAAUAAAUGAAACGGAGUGAGGAAGAGCGAUGGAAAUAAAGGCGGCACAAGUGGAUGAAUUGUUUUGUAUGCGAGCAGUAUGUCUGUGUGAGUCACUACUGCACUCAGUGGCCUUUCGGCUGACACUUAUCUUGUUCUGUUUCUCUGCAGCUCUAUGUUUAUUCAUGUUUAUAAGCCAUAGCCAUAUCUGCAAGGCCAGAGUUCACUGUUUGUCAUCCAAAAGACAAACAGCUCACAUCUUAUGGUGAAUGUGUUUGGCUGAUAUAAGUUUAAUUUGGCGAGUGUAUAAGGUCUGUGACUUACACUCUCCUUUCCCUUUCCGUUUAUUCCCUCUACACCUAAUCAUCCACCAGGUUGCGGAGUGAAUCUGGGUAUGCAAGGACUGGAGUCAAUGGGGACGUUCAUUUACCAGACAGCCACAGCUGUGGACCAGAACGAUGUUCUAGAGGCACUGUCUGCUAAAAUGCAACACUCCAGACAGGUGGCCGAGAGCUUCAAGCAGACAGGCCUGGCUCAAUCAAUUUAUGAAUGAAACACGAGGACGGGCAGGUGAAUGCAUAGUGCCCCCUAGUGGGAAGUGGUGGUGGAUUGUUUGUGUUUACACUGAAUGUUUACAAUGAAUCACUGUUGAUUACACACUGAAAGCAGAUGAACGGACGUGAUCUUUGCCUGGAUGAAUACAGGGUGUAAAGAUGUGACCACAAGUCGUUGUGAUGUACAAUGGGUGGAGCUAUUUAAUUAUGCAUGGAGCACACAUGCCAUGGACACAUUUGCUACGAGGCCUUUGAAGUUCUGUUUUUUCAGGUUGCAAAGCUCGUCAAUUCAAACAGAUGCAGAUGAGAUCUGACACAAUCUACAGUACAUUGUCUAUUAAUGCACUGCACUGGAUUUGGAUUCCUCUGUUAAGUGUCAGAACGAACCGGAUGAGGAGUUUCCUAAAUCUAGUCCAUUGUGUUCUCUUAACAUCGGUGUAAUGAGACUGUUGUGCAGCAACAUCAACAGGAGCUGAAUAAUGCAUUAAACUGUUAUUGUAUGUGAUUUAACAGAGGAGCACAUGUGUAGAAUCUGAUAUCCAGUCUAUCGUGCCGUUUGUCCUUGUGUUUUGCGUGGCGCAAACUGUGUUGAUGACGUUGUGAAGUAUGUGUGUGCUCUUUUUUGUGUACUUUUUAAGCAGGUUUCAAAAGCUCCCAUUAAAUAGGGCAAUUGUAAUAUCACAAACUAAUUUGGCUGGUGUCACAUUCAUUUCUAAAGAACUGAAGUGACAUUUGAGAGAUUGGGAGUAUAAUAAAAUCCUGCUCCUGUUGAAGUGCCAAUAAAUGUGGUGGUUGGGUAUAAGUUAUAUGGAUCGUCUUUACAUAGAACCCCUGUAUGUUUAAUUGGAGAUGAACGCAAUUUAACAAAGGUUAAAGCAACCAGUGUAGGAACUUGUUAGGGGUUUACAAAGAUUUUUGCAAAUCAAAUGAAAAUAAAAUGAAAAAAAACGAUGAGCCUUAAAACAGACUUAUCUUUUCAGAGUCCGAUUACUCCGUAAGCAGAAAGUUUGACAUGCUGUUGUAAAUAACUAUAUAUUUGUGAGCUGCACCCCAUUUAGACAGAACGGUAUCAUGUGUUGUUUCCAUAAUAGUUGAUAUGAGGCACUGCUGCCCUCUACUGGUGCAGCCUGUCUGUUGCACCUGCUUAGCCUCAAACUUCCACACCUGACUAAUCUCUUGUAUUUUAAGUGUAAUCGAUCCCUUAAAUAUAACUUAAGCCCACUGAUGGAACUGAGAGGGGCCCAGGAUCGUCCGAUAGGACACAAGUUGCCUUUCUGGUAUUCUUUUCUUUGGUAAAGCACUUUGUAAAAUUGUUUAGAAACAAAUGAUUAAGGGUAUUUUUAUGGCAUACUAUACUAGUACAUAUUCCAUGACACUUUUUGUAAUGUCACGCUGUACAUUGGUAUUUCCUAUAGCCUUUCUUUUCCUAUUUUACUAUCAGGUAUUUUAAGAACUUUUUGUGAAAUUUGAUUUAAUUACAAUUUCAUUUUUAACUCUUUCAUGGUAUUCUAUACUGUGACUUUUUAAAGACUCCUUUGUACAAAAAUACCCAAUGAGUACCAUGAUUUGAUAAUCAUUAGAUUUUCUGCAGUGGGCUAAAGAGUGACUAGUCCUGAGUAUAGAAAAUAUAGGUAAGAGACAAUGUCCUGCUGAGAUCUAUUUAACUGCUCGGUGGCAACAUCGUAGCCACCAAACAACUGAAGGCUCUCCCUCCCAAAGCUGUCUGCUCCGUCUAAUUAAAAACAUUCAUCCUCUGGCGUUGUUCUCCAAGGUCAAUAGUCUGGACCUUUGAACCGACCCCUGCUGUAGCACAAGCCCUUUCAUUAGAUUAAACACAAUGAUGAGAAAUCUUUUAUCUUUGCAUAUAAUUAAAGCGUGGUUGAAGGACAACCUAAUCAAUGACGUGGAAUGACAAGUUCGUAAAUGAAUUAGGCCUGCCAAUGAGGGCUUGGCUGCGAUCAAUGACAAAUGUUAAGCAGAGAGUGGAUGGCUUGUAGUAACAGAUACGGGUGAAUCUAUGAGUCCAUGAAAGAGUAUUUGAUUCUGGGGGCGUAGCUCGAUUACUGAUGUGGGUGGUCGUGGCAUUGCAUAGGCAGACUCUGUAAAAUCAGGAUUUUUACUACACAUCAAUCAAAUAUUUAUUAGUACAUAUGAUCAUGGGAGGCAUUUUACACCUCUUUUAGAUGACUUCAAACAAUGCCAAAUUACAUAACAUGUAACUCCACAUAAAUGAGUGAUAUUAAUAGCAUUGUGUAGCCAUGCGAGGGCAGUGUUCUCCUUUGAAAUAGCCUCCGGGCUCCAUGUGAGCAGGAGCAGGCUGCGAAGCCAAAAGGCAAAACUGGAGGAGGAACAGAACAGUUUACGACUGCGACAGUGUUCUGAAGAAUAUUCUUAUGAUACGCUAAAAAAUCCAGAGCGAGAUAUGAGAUAAGAAUCUGUUUAACUGAAUGCAACUUAUCUGAUACAAACACAGAUAAUCCUGCUUCUGACCUUGGCUCAAAGUAAAACUCAACAAUUACUGUUGCACCUCCCAAAAAUGUUCGUGCAGCACGACGUUUCGCUGCUUCCCCUCGGAGGAGCGAGACAAACGGUAGAAAUGAGUGUUUUUGUGAUGGUCCUCGGCUGGCCUUGGGAGUUUGUGUUUGAAGAGAUGGGAAAGGAUGUGAGCACGAGCUUGUAUUGACAAGCCUUCAGUUGCUGUCCGACACACAGACAGGAAGUCACUGUCACAUGACUGAGGUAUCGGCACCUUGUCCGAUUGCACAGAGGGCCUCUUAUGUAUGCUGCCAGCACAGAUACAGCCCGAUUCAUCCACAAUCCAACACUUACACACACACACACACACACACACACACACACACACACACACACACACACACACACACACACACACACACACACACACACACAGAGACACAGAGAAAGAGCGAGAGGAUGCGAACAAAAGCCUGAAAAAAAAGGAAAUACUAAGACUUUCAUAGUAUUAGUUACACCUCAGUCUAAUUGGUAAAUCACAGAUCAACAGAUUGAGUUGAAUAUACCUACCUGACUGGCGUCUGUCAAACAAUUAUCAGUUCUCCUAACUGUUCGGCUGCUAUCUGCCCCAUCACACUCACGCGCCCCAAUUUCCUUAAACUUGUCACAGACAAUAAUUGGGCCUUUCUGUCUGUGAGAAAAUCAGGGCCGCUGUUCUAACUAAACCACACAUCCUUCAUCUUUAUUCUUCCUUCUCCCCCUUCUCCCUCUUGUUCUCUUCUUCCCUUUCUCAAUCACCCCUUUCCCCCAAUACAGCGGUCCUGUCUGCCCCAUCUCCACUUCUUCCUCCACCCUAGUGUGUGUUUGUCUAUGUGCGCGUGUGUGUGUGUGUGUGUGUGUGUGUUGGACAGGGUGCACACUAUGUGACAGCGGUAGCCUCGGGGCCAGGUUGCUGUUGACAGGGACGAGGGUCUCUGAUUUGAGGAGAGCAGUCACACCAGUGACUGCAGCUGCCUCCCCAAGUGACACCUCCCUGUUAGUGGGGGAGAUGUGGACAUGUGUGCCAGUGUGUGUGUGUGUGUGUGUGUGUGUGUGUUGUUGAUGGCAGGGUUGGCGGACUGACUGGCUGCCUACAGUGCUCAGGACAAACAGGGGAACCUUCCCUGAUGAGCUGACAGGCCCUCAUGUUGAACACCUCACUGGGCUCCUGCUGGUGCCGGGACAAAGUGCAGGAGGGGCGAUGGCAAAGAAAGAAGAACAUGGAAACACCGGCCAAGCAGGUCAGAGGGAGAGAAAGAGAUGGAAAGAGGAGACUAAACAGCGCUGGUGUGCAGCGUGCGUGGACUGUGCGUCUGUGUGGAUGUGUGCGAGAGUGUGAGCCUCCAGAGUCCAGGCUGUGUAGAUCACCAUUCCACCUUAUCUAAUUUCAUUAAUGUGAUCCCCUGUCCAUCCUCUGACGGCUUAAUAGCCAUUAUUUGUGGGUCCCUUUCAAUAAAGG